rnacentral:rRNA from 1 species
UACGAAGGGAGCUAGCGUUGUUCGGAAUCACUGGGCGUAAAGCGCACGUAGGCGGACGUGUCAGUCAGGGGUGAAAUCCCGGAGCUCAACUUCGGAACUGCCUUUGAUACAGCACGUCUUGAGUCCGGAAGAGGUGGGUGGAAUUCCUAGUGUAGAGGUGAAAUUCGUAGAGAUGUGGAGGAACACCAGUGGCGAAGGCGACUCUUUGGCCUGUAACUGACGCUGAGGCGCGAAAGCGUGGGGAGCAAACAGG